rnacentral:tRNA from 1 species
GCCACCUUAGCUCAGUUGGUAGAGCAACUGAUUUGUAAUCAGUAGGUCGCCAGUUCGACUCUGGCAGGUGGCUCCA